rnacentral:rRNA from 1 species
GCACCCCAAAAAGUGCACACAGGAUAACCCCGCACGUCCGAUCAGAUCCAUUAAGUUGCAUCCAACAGUCCACGAUACAUCCAUUAUACUACAGUCAGAUCUACGGCUGAAAACAAAUGUUCUGCCGGCAGACUCCAAGUUCAGGAUGCUACACAGCCCCCAACGAUGACACCUCAAGGGAAUUAACGUGGACUCCGCGAUCAAAGCCGCCGCCACACCAGGAACCUCCACGAUCAACGCCGGCAUCACGCCACAAACCUCGCCUCCGCCAGCCGCCCCGCCGCGCCUCUGGUGUCCGCGACAUCCUCGACCCGCCUUGCUGCCUUACCUCUCCUGGCUCCUGGUGUCCGCGACGUCCUCCACCCGCCUUGCUGUCGUACCUCUCCUCGCCACGCCGCCCUCGCCCUGUCCGCGACGUCCUCGACCCGGUGGACGUCCUCAACCUGGCGCGCUGCCCUACCUCCGGUGUCAUCACCCUGUGUGGCCCCACGGCAUCUCGAGACCUGCCAGUGCACAGGUUAGAUCAAUUUAAUUUGCACAUCUUAUGAUCUGACAGAAGACAAAGGAAAUUGCUCUUUUAAUAUGACAGCAUGUAAUUUGUACUUUCAAAACUAAUACUUACAGUACAUUAUGAACAAACUGAGUUGACAAAGGGUUGAAUAAGUGUUUCACAAAAAAGAAAAGUUGAGAAGACAAUAUGGCAUCCUCUCAGCGUAGUGGGGUACGUACUCCCUUUCAGGACCUGACCAACAACAGCAAUUCAGGUAAAUACAUAAGCUGCGACUCUUACCUACUUAGGUUUGUAAAUCCAGAAGAAUAUGUCAUUGUCUCGCAGGUCAAAAAGCAGAUCCAAAAGAGCUGAAGAGACAGAGGGAAAGGGAGAGGUAUGCACUAAACAGGGAUGCAAUAUUAAAGAAAAGACAAGAGGCAAGGGAUCGUAAGAAAGCUGCGGCUGCUAUUCUAAAUGAAAUCAACACUCCAUCUAAGCCAUCCGGGGCCAUGUCGCCUGGUUACUCCAUUUUCUCUAUUUUUAUCAUACAUUGAUGAAUCUCAAGUAAAUCAUAUCAAUUAAGUGUUCUUUUGGGCAGGUUUUGACACGGUGGAGAGGCCCACUGCGCAGUCUGCUCUCACCCAGCAACGACACACACCAGCUGCAGAAGGUCAUGUGUUCUCCUACAUCCAACCAUAAUACCGGCAUUUGUGUGUCAACAACUGACAUUGUUCAUACAAUUAUGAUGCAGGCAUACCUGUUGAUGUCAUAAUGAGUGAUCGGACUCCACUUCCUGGUCUGAAUUCAUUAGGAACACCAUAUACUGCUGUUUCUAACAAGGAAAAUGUCAAUAAUAUCGACUCUGCCAACAUCGACUCUGCCAUUGGGUCCUCCCAACUGACUGUGUUACGACCACCACUUCAAUCCUACAGAGGCAGCAGUUCAUAUGCUAAUGAAGAUUGUGAUUGGCUACACACAAAUGAUACGUACCAGAGACAAAGCUUUGGAACAAGGAUGAGGCCAGACAACAUACUCACUGCGCCGUCAUGUGGACACAAUCCCGUCGACAAAUAUAAUGGUGCUUUAAUUGACUACUGCUUGGUUCAUACUUUAAUUACGGAGGGUCCACAAAACAUGCUUCUUGAUGCUGUGAUAACCAACGAUGGAGAUACAAUCCCCGAAUCGACAGAGCUACCGAGCGAUGACGAAUCAAGUGAAAUACUCAACAAUAAUGAAGUGGAGGAAAAUAAUUGCACGGAGAGCCCAGAAUAUACACCAAUCCUUGAAGAAAACAUAGCAAAAAGAGAGGCCAAAGAUUCUGAACAUACACAGAAAUUAACCCACAACGAAACAAGUCAACAAAUUGUGGUGGCUGAGGACGAGGAAUUGGCCCAUCAAUGAACUGCAAGGACCUCACUGAUACG